AAAAUUUCAAAAAAAAAACCCCCCAAAAAACAAAAAAACAAAAACAAAACAAAACAAAAAAUCCCAGGGUCUUUACAGAUGUAGUUAGUUUGUGAUCUCCAGAAAAAAUCAUCCUGGAUAUAGGCUGAACUUAAAUCCAAUGAAUGGU